rnacentral:rRNA from 1 species
CAGUAGCGUAUAUUAAAGUUGUUGCAGUUAAAAAGCUCGUAGUUGGAUUUCUGGUACGGCGCGUUUGGCCGACACCCGUUAGGGUGUUCUGUGCCGUGCGCGCCUGCCAUCUUUCUAGAAAACCUCUCUACCCUUCACUGGGCCGGAUUGGCAGAUCUAGAACUUUUACUUUGAAAAAUUAGAGUGUUUAAAGCAGGCUUGUGCUAUGAAUACAUUAGCAUGGAAUAAUAAUUUAGGACUUUGGUCCUAUUUUGUUGGUUUCUAGGACCGAAGUAAUGAUUGAUAGGGAUAGUUGGGGGUGCUAGUAUUCAGCGGCCAGAGGUGAAAUUCUUGGAUUCGCUGAAGACUAACUUAUGCGAAAGCAUUCACCAAGGAUGUCUUCUUUAAUCAAGAACGAAAGUUGGGGGAUCGAAGAUGAUCAGAUACCAU